rnacentral:rRNA from 1 species
UACGGAGGGGGCAAGCGUUGUUCGGAAUUAUUGGGCGUAAAGGGCGCGUAGGCGACUAGAUGUGUCAAAGGUGAAAUCCCUCGGCUCAACUGAGGAACUGCCUUUGAAACUGUCUGGCUUGAGGCCGGGAGAGGGUAGCGGAAUUCCCAGUGUAGCGGUGAAAUGCGUAGAUAUUGGGAGGAACACCAGUGGCGAAGGCGGCUACCUGGACCGGUUCUGACGCUGAGGCGCGAAAGCGUGGGUAGCAAACAGG